rnacentral:lncRNA from 1 species
AAUGAGAUGAAAAAAUAAAAAACAAAGAGUUCUCUGGAAAAAAAAGGGAAACACAAGAAAAUGUAGAGAAAACUUAGAGGAAGAAAAAAAGAAAAGAAAAUACUGGAAUAGUAUAUAUAUAUAUACUAUGGUGCUUGUAAAAGCACCCAGCACUUGGUGCUUGUGAAUUUUUUACCGUUAGAUUUACGACUUUGAUCAUUUUCAUCCGUUAGAUUAUACUAUUCAACCAACCACCCACUUAACCUAAGGGGGCCCACAACAUCCUAACUGCACAUCUAUUAAUCUAAGGGCUAAAAACUUACAAACACCAAUGAAUUGGUACUUUUAAAAGCAUAGGAGCUGGACUCUAUAUAUAUAUAUAUAUAUGGUGCUUGUAAAAGCACAAGUAUUUGUUGCUUGUAAUAUAUAUAUAUAUAUAUAUGGAGAGAGAGUUUAGCUAUGGUGCUUUUACAAGCACUUGAUGCUUGUAAGUUUUUUACCGUUAGAUUUACUCCACGAAUCAUUUUCAACAAUUAGAUUAUAUUAUUUAACCAACCACCCACUCAACCUCAGGGGCCCACAUCAUCCUAACCGCAUAUCUCUUAAUCUAAUGGCUAAAAAUCUACAAGUACAAAUGUCUUGGUACUUUUAAAAACAUAGGAGUUCAAUUCUAUAUAUAUAUAUGUUUGUACAAUAUACGUUAUUAGCAUAAUAUAUGCUAAUAUAAUAUAUGCAACAAAAGUAUAAAUCUAUACAGAAAAUUUAAAAUCAUAAUUUGGUCCUGAAAUGCAAUAAUAAAAUUAUUAUUAGAUCUAUAAAAAUAAAAAAAAGAAAAAAAUAUUAAUUA